GAGUUUGAUCGUGGCUCAGAUUGAACGCUGGCGGCAUGCCUUACACAUGCAAGUCGAACGGUAACAGGUCUUCGGACGCUGACGAGUGGCGAACGGGUGAGUAAUACAUCGGAACGUGCCCAGUCGUGGGGGAUAACUACUCGAAAGAGUAGCUAAUACCGCAUACGAUCUGAGGAUGAAAGCGGGGGACCUUCGGGCCUCGCGCGAUUGGAGCGGCCGAUGGCAGAUUAGGUAGCUGGUGGGAUAAAAGCUUACCAAGCCGACGAUCUGUAGCUGGUCUGAGAGGACGACCAGCCACACUGGGACUGAGACACGGCCCAGACUCCUACGGGAGGCAGCAGUGGGGAAUUUUGGACAAUGGGCGAAAGCCUGAUCCAGCAAUGCCGCGUGCAGGAUGAAGGCC
rnacentral:rRNA from 1 species